rnacentral:rRNA from 1 species
GAUGAACGCUGGCUACAGGCUUAACACAUGCAAGUCGAGGGGAAACGACGGGGAAGCUUGCUUCCCCGGGCGUCGACCGGCGCACGGGUGAGUAACGCGUAUCCAACCUGCCUCUGACUGAGGGAUGACCCGUCGAAAGUCGGCCUAAUACCUCAUGGCAUCGUCUGCGGGCAUCCAACGACGAUUAAAGAUUUCAUCGGUCAGGGAUGGGGAUGCGUCUGAUUAGCUUGUUGGCGGGGUAACGGCCCACCAAGGCUACGAUCAGUAGGGGUUCUGAGAGGAAGGUCCCCCACAUUGGAACUGAGACACGGUCCAAACUCCUACGGGAGGCAGCAGUGAGGAAUAUUGGUCAAUGGGCGGGAGCCUGAACCAGCCAAGUAGCGUGCAGGAUGACGGCCCUAUGGGUUGUAAACUGCUUUUAUGCGGGGAUAAAGUGAGGGACGUGUCCUUCAUUGCAGGUACCGCAUGAAUAAGGACCGGCUAAUUCCGUG